CCUACGGGUGGCUGCAGUGGGGAAUAUUGGACAAUGGGCGAAAGCCUGAUCCAGCCAUGCCGCGUGUGUGAAGACGGCCUUCGGGUUGUAAAGCACUUUCAGUGGGGAAGAAAGCCUUGGGGCUAAUACCCUCGAGGAAGGACAUCACCCACAGAAGAAGCACCGGCUAACUCCGUGCCAGCAGCCGCGGUAAUACGGAGGGUGCGAGCGUUAAUCGGAAUUACUGGGCGUAAAGCGCGCGUAGGCGGUCUGAUAAGCCGGUUGUGAAAGCCCCGGGCUCAACCUGGGAACGGCAUCCGGAACUGUCAGGCUAGAGUGCAGGAGAGGAAGGUAGAAUUCCCGGUGUAGCGGUGAAAUGCGUAGAGAUCGGGAGGAAUACCAGUGGCGAAGGCGGCCUUCUGGACUGACACUGACGCUGAGGUGCGAAAGCGUGGGUAGCAAACAGGAUUAGAUACCCGAGUAGUC
rnacentral:rRNA from 1 species